rnacentral:rRNA from 1 species
UACGUAAGUGGCGAGCGUUAUCCGGAAUCACUGGGCGUAAAGCGUUCGUAGGCGGCGCGGUAAGUUGGAAUUGAAAUCCCAGGGCUUAACUCUGGACCCGGUUCCAAAACUGCUGUGCUUGAGCGUAUCAGAGGGUAGUGGAAUUCCCGGUGUAGCGGUAAUAUGCGUAGAUAUCGGGAGGAACACCAGUGGCGAAGGCGGCUACCUGGGAUAUUGCUGACGCUGAGGAACGAAAGCCAGGGGAGCGAACGGGAUUAGAUACCCCGGUAGUCCUGGCUGUAAACGAUGAGCACUAGGUGUCAGGGGCUUCGACCCCCUUGGCGCCGCCGCUAACGCAUUAAGUGCUCCGCCUGGGGACUACGGCCGCAAGGUUAAAACUCAAAGGAAUUGACGGGGGCCCGCACAAGCAGUGGAGCAUGUGGUUUAAUUCGAUGCUACGCGAAAAACCUUACCAGGACUUGACUUCCCGGUGUAACCUCUUAGAAAUAAGAGGCCCCUUUUGGCACCGGAGACAGGUGGUGCAUGGCUGUCGUCAGCUCGUGCCGUGAGGUGUUGGAUUAAGUUCCGCAACGAGCGCAACCCUCAUUGUCAGUUACCAUCAUUAAGUUGGGUACUCUGGCGAGACUGCCGGCGUCAAGCCGGAGGAAGGUGGGGAUGACGUCAAGUCAUCAUGCCCCUUACGUCCUGGGCUACACACGUGCUACAAUGGGCGGUACAACGGGUUGCCACUCCGCGAGGAGGAGCGAAUCCCUUAAAGCCGUUCUCAGUUCGGAUUGGAGGCUGCAACUCGCCUCCAUGAAGCCGGAAUUGCUAGUAACCGUGGAUCAGCAUGCCGCGGUGAAUACGUACCCGGGCCUUGUACACACCGCCCGUCACACCACGAAAGUUGGCAACACCCGAAGUCCGUAGGCUAACCGCAAGGAGGCAGCGGCCGAAGGUGGGGUCAAUGAUUGGGGUG